CACCUCUGAGGGUCACACCUGGAGAGUUUCCAGUACUCUACCAGUCUCGACUGUGGGAGGGAGAGAUGGGCAGAGGGCUACCCAUUCCAUUCCUAGCUUGGCCAGUGGUUAGCGAGUGGAAGACAAUCUGCUAUAAGU